rnacentral:tRNA from 1 species
GGGGCUGUAGCUCAGCUGGUUAGAGCACCGCGUUUGCAACGCGGGGGUCAGGAGUUCGAAUCUCCUCAGCUCCACCA